rnacentral:rRNA from 1 species
UUUCGCAAUGCCCGAAAGGGUGACGAAGCGACGCCGCGUGUGGGAAGAAGGCCUUCGGGUUGUAAACCACUGUCGGGAGUUAAGAGUUGCAAGGAUAUAAAUAGUGUCUUUGUUUGACUAAGGCUCCGGAGGAAGCCACGGCUAACUCUGUGCCAGCAGCCGCGGUAAUACAGAGGCGGCAAGCGUUGUUCGGAAUUAUUGGGCGUAAAGAGCACGUAGGCGGCUAUGGUAGUCGGUUGUGAAAGCCUUCCGCUCGUCGGAAGAACAGCAUCCGAUACUACAUGGCUUGAGUGCGGGAGGGGAGAGUGGAACUUCUGGUGGAGCGGUGAAAUGCGUAGAUAUCAGAAGGAACGCCGGCGGCGAAAGCGGCUCUCUGGCCCAUAACUGACGCUGAGUGUGCGAAAGCUAGGGGAGCAAACGGGAUUAGAUACCCCGGUAGUCCUAGCCGUAAACGAUGGGCACUAAGUAGAGUGGUUUU